ensembl:lncRNA AQP4-AS1 AQP4 antisense RNA 1
GGGCAGAAAUUUCCCACACGAUUGUCUGUGGCUUUGUAUGCAGAAUGCGAUAAUGAAGGAAAGCAGCUAUAAUGUGCUUGUAGUGGUGGUGGACCACCAGGAGGUGGGAAGCUCUGGUGAACAUGAGUAAUACCUUCUACAUUGAAAUGUUUUGAUGUGGACCUGGAUCCAAGUGAGAGUUGGAAUCUAACUGCCCCCCACCCCCCACACCACUGGGCUUCAGAAGCUGAUGGCAUAGUUAUGAGAGGGGUGAAGACUGCGACUGCAUUUCCAACAGACCCUGAGGACAAUUGGGAAGAAUGCGCUGAAUAUUUUUGAGCAAUUUCUAUAUGAUAAGCAGUUUUUAGGCAAGGGGGAUGAGUCCAUAAGAUGACACUGGAAAAGGGGAUUGGCUUGAGUGCACCAGGGGGCCAGAGACAUGGGUCAUCCCUGGUGACGGGAGUUGGAAUGCUCCCCUGAGAUGGAGACUGGAAGUACAAGAAAGAAGAAAGUUGUUGUGAGGUUGCACUGAUCCUGACCUUUUGGCCUGAGGAUGGAAGUCUUCAGUAUCUGUACAACUUUACUCCCAAGAGCUGGUGUAGAAUGAGUUCCUCUGGCCAUGGGAGGAUCGCAGAGGGGCACCUGCCACCAGCAGCCCAGCCUCAGCACUUUUCUCUUCAGCGUCUUCUUCAAGGUAUUUCCAGUUGCCCGCCCUGAACUGUUUCAGAAUGAGGAGGACACCUGGAGGAAUCUACACGUGCAUAGACCAAUUUGCAAAAGAACCUGUGAGCCAACAUUAUUACCUCAGCUGGAAGAAUUAAUAAGCAACACGUUCACCCAAGAAGUAUUUACUGAGCACCUACUAUGUGCAUUAUUUUCUGGUGUUGGGGCUAGGGGGCAAACGACUCUGACAAGUCUCUGUUCUCAAGGCUGGAGUGCAGCGGCGCGAUCUCGGCUCACUGCAAGCUCCGCCUCCCGGGUUCACGCCAUUCUCCUGCCUCAGCCUCCCGAGUAGCUGGGACUACAGGCGCCCGCAACCACGCCCGGCUAAUUUUUUGUAUUUUUAGUAGAGAUGGGGUUUCACCAUGUUAGUCAGGAUGGUCUCGAUUUCCUGACCUUGUGAUCCGCCCGCCCCCGCCUCCCAAAGUGCUGGGAUUACAGGCGUGAGCCACCGCGCCCGGCCGUAGUUUACAUUUUCUAAAGCGUACUCUGCCAGCCAAGUGGCAAACAGACUUGGGCCUCUUAAGAGUGGAAGCAGGAGGAAACCCGAAGAUCCUGGAGAGAGACUGGUGGCUGGUACCAGUGGAGAGGGAGCAAAAAGGAAAAUACAGGAUACAAUUUCAGGAAAAAUUUCAUACCAAUUUCCUGAGGUAAUUUCUGAACUCGAACAUUUUCAGUGUCACCACAUUGUGUUUCCUGCUGAAUCAAGUCUACAUCACUUCGGUUUUUAAAGCCUUCCACGAUCCUUCCCUGAACACUGUAGUUUUCACUGAUGGUUGGCUGUUUCAAACUCCCAUAUGAUCCAUACUGUAUCAUUAAUAAGCAAGCAAGGAAUAACACACCCUCUGCUAUUCUGUGCAGUGUUUCAGGUUUUUAGUUUUCUCUUUCAAGAUAGAAAAUCCCUUUAGAGUAGGAACUCGGCUGGCACUUUCUUUCACAUCCUGCAUAGCACUUAGCAAAGUUCUGUACACAGGGCACAUGUGGAAAUUGCUUAUUGAUUGAUUAAAAG